rnacentral:rRNA from 1 species
AUUGAACGCUGGCGGCAGGCCUAACACAUGCAAGUCGAACGAGUGGCGGACGGGUGAGUAAUGUCUGGGAAACUGCCCGAUGGAGGGGGAUAACUACUGGAAACGGUAGCUAAUACCGCAUACCAUCGGAGGUGCACAGAUGGGAUUAGCUAGUAGGUGGGGUACCGGCUCACCUAGGCGACGAUCCAUAGCUGGUCUGAGAGGAAGACCAGCCACACUGGAACUGAGCCACGGUCCAGACUCCUACGGGAGGCAGCAGUGGGGAAUAUUGCACAAUGGGCUCAAGCCUGAUGCAGCCAUGCCGCGUGUAUGAAGAAGGCCUUCGGGUUGUAAAGUACUUGCAGCGAGGAGGCGUUACUCGCAGAAGAAGCACCGGCUAACUCCGUGCAAGCAGCCGCGGUAAUAC